rnacentral:rRNA from 1 species
UACGGAGGGUGCGAGCGUUAAUCGGAAUCACUGGGCGUAAAGCGCACGUAGGCGGUGGAGUAAGUCAGCUGUGAAAGCCCUGGGCUUAACCUGGGAAUGGCAGUUGAGACUGCUUGACUGGAGUCUGAGAGAGGGAGGUGGAAUUCCAGGUGUAGCGGUGAAAUGCGUAGAGAUCUGGAGGAACACCGGUGGCGAAGGCGGCCUCCUGGCUCAAGACUGACGCUGAGGUGCGAAGGCGUGGGGAGCAAACAGGAUUAGAUACCCUGGUAGUCCACGCGGUAAACGAUGUCGACUAGCCGUGGGGUCCAAUUAAGGAUUUCGUGGCGCAGCCAACGCGAUAAGUCGACCGCCUGGGGAGUACGGCCGCAAGGUUAAA